rnacentral:tRNA from 1 species
UGGGGAGUCGCCUAAUCGGUAUGGCACCGCUCUUUGAAAGCGGAAAAAUAUAGGUUCGAGUCCUAUCUUCCCAG